AAGUCGUAACAAGGUUUCCGUAGGUGAACCUGCGGAAGGAUCAUUAACAAAUCUGAACUGAUCUAGUGCAAGCGGAGCGAUAGUUUUGCUAGUACUAGAUCACAUUGACUCAGCUCGGCUUUGCCUGUGCGCUGGCCCCCUUGGGGGUGGGUGUGAGGGUAUUAGUCGAGUGUUGAGACACAUUCACGCUUGUUGUGUUUGACUGAGUUUAUAUGUGACAAAAUAAAGACAACUUUUAACAAUGGAUCUCUUGGCUCUU
rnacentral:misc_RNA from 1 species